UAAAAAACAGAUCACAAUUAAACAUGCAAUUAGAAAAAACAAAUGAAGUUCAUAUUAACAUUUUUAUUGAAUGCCAAUUUGUCUAAAAAUCAAGGAGUUUUUUUUUUAUAUUUAAUUUAUUAGCAUAGCAGAACCUUCUAAUGAGGUUAGCAGUAGUAAUGGUCCCUGAAGAAAUGUAAUGCUUAGCGUUAUAUAUGGUGCGUUCACUGAAAAGCUGAAGAUUGGAUGAUUUAUCUGUGCAUUCAAAGUUCUUGUCUGAAUUGAGCUGAGAUGCUUCUGUUUCCACUGAUCGUCUUGCCGAUGUUUCUACCUUGUGCCUAUAUUACAUCCAGAAAAAGUGGCUUGGAGGGACUGUCUGAUGUUUAGGAGUGACGGUGAUCACACACUGGUUGCAGAAUAAACGCACAAAGUACAAGGGAUUGACGUACAAAGGCUCCCGUUUGUGAAUAUACAGCAAUGAACACCGUAAUUGGUGGAAACAUCCAGAAGGUCAUUGCUAAUGCAACUCACCUUUAUGGUGGACAAAUUAACACGAUAACCCGCUUGAACGUUACCAGGAAUGAUCUGGUCUGAAAAGAGUAUCGACUUUUUGAUCUGGACUGACUCCAGCAUACUGUGGAAAUGUUUAUCUCCCAUACCAGAUGGACCACAUUUCUGGAGGCGUAGCCCAGAACACCUGAGGCUGCCAGUCCUGAUUGUUGAUGCUUAUCGCCAUUGUUUUUGCUUUUGUUCUCUUAAACAUCUUACUGCAAAAUUAAAUCUGAAGACUUUCGGGACAUAUCCUAUAGGAAACGAAGUUAAAACGGCAAACUUGACUUCAUGUUAGUCCACAUUUGAUCUUAAAAACAGAAAAUUUCUUUGUGCCUCUAAACAAGAAUGAACCAGCAUCAGUUAGAACAAAGAAAAAUUGGAAAAUGAAGAUUAACCUCAAAGUGAGACAUGUUCUGCGUUUCACACAUUUAUGAUCUGGUUUAAUAGUAACGUUCAUAGUACAUAAACAAAUGCAACAUAUAAUUAUUAUUUCCUGAACAUGGCCUGUAUAAUUAUGGUUCCUGUUGUUCUUGUUCCUUUUGUGCUAACUAAUCUAACCGGUUGCUGGAUCUCGAGGAAAGCUUUUUCUAUAUAUAUAUAUAUAUAUACACAUACAUACAAACGUAGAAAAUGCUGAAAUCCUCCUUUAACCCUUGAUUCACCUUUAAGUUGACCUUACACUUUUUAUCUAAUAAUAAUGAUGAAUCAUUUCACUGCAUUGAAUCGUUUCAACAACUUCAGCUCCAUCUAUUAAAAUGUUUUUCAUAUUUAAAACAAAUAUUUUCUGUUUUAAAGUCUGAUUUUUUUUUUUUUUUUUUAAGGAGAAAUCCCCAAUAUAUACUAAAAAUAAAGUUUUCAGCAUUAAUCCACUCGAUGUGGCACAUUUUCAAUUAAAUAAAAACUUUAUUUAUCCCAAAAGAAAGUUAAAUUGAUUCACAGCAUCCAAUUAUCUUCAGAGUCAUUGUGCGUAGGAAACAUCUCCAGUAGCAGUCAGUCUUUCAACGAUUUUUAAGAGGCUUCUGACUGAAAACUGUUGCGUUUUUUUUUUUUUUUUUUUUUAGUUCUCACUUUCCAGGUAGCAGA